GAAGUUAUAAAAAAGUGGGAACCCUAUUUAUUAGGAGACAACCUACAUCCCAAGUAAGUUGAUAUACUUACAAAUAUUCAUAUAUGUAAUAUUUAAUGUACAAUCAUUUACUUCAAUACUUAAUCUCAUAAUUGAAAUAAUUUGUAAAAUUUUAGUGAACCAAAAAAGUUGAAAGUGAAAUUUAUAAUGUCAAGAUCAAGGCCAGAGAAAAAUCAAUCAAUAAGGUAUAAAUACUUAAUAAAAAUUCAAUAAUUAAUUUUUAUACAGUUACAUAAUCAUACUUUUAUGUAUUAACAUUCGAAAAAUUUCAGUGAACAAGAGAAGGAAACUUCAAAAAUAGAUGAUGCAUCAACAAAUCAAGGAAAAAAAAAACAACUGAAGAGGAAGCAAAAACUGAUCACCUACAACAAGAAAAGGCUGGAUCAGAAUUAGUGAAUACAGGAAAUCAAUCACCUAAGAAAGACA